rfam:Trachymyrmex septentrionalis contig9986, whole genome shotgun sequence.
GCUAACUUCCAUACUACGUUUAGAAUACCAGUUCUCGUCCGAUCACUGAAGUCAAGCAACGUUGGGCACGGUUAGUACUUGGAUGGGUGACCGCCCGGGAAUACCGUGUGAUGUUGGCA